GACGAACGCUGGCGGCGUGCCUAACACAUGCAAGUCGAGCGAGGAGAUUCCCUUCGGGGAUGAACCUAGCGGCGGACGGGUGAGUAACACGUGGGCAACCUGCCUUAUAGAGGGGAAUAGCCUUCCGAAAGGAAGAUUAAUACCGCAUAACAUUACAUUUUCGCAUGAAGAAGUAAUUAAAGGAGUAAUCCGCUAUAAGAUGGGCCCGCGGCGCAUUAGCUAGUUGGUGAGGUAACGGCUCACCAAGGCGACGAUGCGUAGCCGACCUGAGAGGGUGAUCGGCCACAUUGGGACUGAGACACGGCCCAGACUCCUACGGGAGGCAGCAGUGGGGAAUAUUGCACAAUGGGGGAAACCCUGAUGCAGCAACGCCGCGUGAGUGAUGAAGGUCUUCGGAUCGUAAAGCUCUGUCUUCAGGGACGAUAAUGACGGUACCUGAGGAGGAAGCCACGGCUAACUACGUGCCAGCAGCCGCGGUAAUACGUAGGUGGCGAGCGUUGUCCGGAUUUACUGGGCGUAAAGGGAGCGUAGGCGGAUUUUUAAGUGAGAUGUGAAAUACCCGGGCUCAACUUGGGUGCUGCAUUUCAAACUGGAAGUCUAGAGUGCAGGAGAGGAGAGUGGAAUUCCUAGUGUAGCGGUGAAAUGCGUAGAGAUUAGGAAGAACACCAGUGGCGAAGGCGACUCUCUGGACUGUAACUGACGCUGAGGCUCGAAAGCGUGGGGAGCAAACAGAAGUAGAUACCCUGGUAGUCCACGCCGUAAACGACCCAGUUGGGGUAGGGGUUGUCUUGACCUCUGGGCCGCCGCAAACGCAUUAAGUAUUCCGCGUGGGGAGUACGGUCGCAAGAUUAAAACUCAAAGGAAUUGACGGGGGGCCCGCACAAGCAGGGGAGCAUGUGGUUUAAUUCGAAGCAACGCGAAGAACCUUACCUAGACUUGACAUCUCCUGAAUUACUCUUAAUCGAGGAAGUCCCUUCGGGGACAGGAAGACAGGUGGUGCAUGGUUGUCGUCAGCUCGUGUCGUGAGAUGUUGGGUUAAGUCCCGCAACGAGCGCAACCCUUAUUGUUAGUUGCUACCAUUAAGUUGAGCACUCUAGCAAGACUGCCCGGGUUAACCGGGAGGAAGGUGGGGAUGACGUCAAAUCAUCAUGCCCCUUAUGUCUAGGGCUACACACGUGCUACAAUGGCAAGUACAAAAAGAUGCAAUACCGCAAGGUGGAGCUAAACUUAAAAACUUGUCUCAGUUCGGAUUGUAGGCUGAAACUCGCCUACAUGAAGCUGGAGUUGCUAGUAAUCGCGAAUCAGAAUGUCGCGGUGAAUACGUUCCCGGGCCUUGAACACACCGCCCGUCACACCAUGAGAGUUGGCAAUACCCAAAGUUCGUGAG
rnacentral:rRNA from 1 species